AGACACCUCUCCCCACCCCCAGCCCCACGGCUUGGCUGGAGGCUCCAGGAGGACAGCUGGGGAGAAGGGGAGAUGUGGGUACUGUGAGUUUCUUGAACACAAGGAUGUGUUCAUUUAGUUUUGUUGUCCUCGGCAUGUAGCGGUUUCCACCACACAGGCCCUGUGUGAAGUCCAAGUGAUCACAUAAGGGAAUAAAACAGAGCUCCUGCUGACCUGAAAAUCAAAAUAAG